rnacentral:snoRNA from 1 species
ACCUUUUUGUAGUUCAUUGGCUGUUCACGCCGUGUGUGUAACCUGUGUCUCCCUCAAACCUUGCUACCACCUCGGCACGUUACCCAUAUGAGG